CAAUCUGCUCAAUGAUUUAUAUUAAAUAGUUGCAGUAUUAUAACUGUACGAAGGUAGCAUAAUAAUUUGUCCUAUAAUUAAGGAAUAGAAUGAAUGAUUUAAUGAAAAAAUUAAUGUCUCAAUUUUAUUUUUAAAAUUUAAAUUUUAAGUUAAAAAGCUUAAAUAAAAUUAAAAGACGAGAAGACCCUAUAGAAUUUUAUAUGAUAUUAUUUAAUAAUUUUAAAUAUUAAUUAUAUUUGAUUGGGAGGAUUCUUAAAUUAAACUAACUUUAAUUUUUAUAAAAAUUAAUUUAUUUAUAUUAAAUGAACCAAAAAUUUUGAUUUAUAAAAUAAAUUACCUUAGGGAUAACAGCAUAAUUUUUUUAGAUAGCUCUAAUUAAUAAAAAAGAUUAUGACCUCGAUGUUGAAUUAAGAUUAAAUUAAAAGAAAAUUUUUAAGUUUUAAGUCUGUUCGACU
rnacentral:rRNA from 1 species